AGCAGCCGCGGUAAUUCCAGCUCCAAUGGCGUAUAUUAAAGUUGUUGCAGUUAAAAAGCUCGUAGUUGAAUUUCGGGAUCAAUAUUUCGGUCAUGCCGUUGGUAUGCACUGUUAUCAUUGAUUUCCCACCUUCUAAAGAACCGUAAUGCCAUUAAUUUGGUGUUACGGGGAAUUAGGACUGUUACCUUGAAAAAUUAGAGUGUUUAAAGCAGGCUCACGCUUGAAUACAUUAGCAUGGAAUAAUGAAAUAGGACAUCCGAUUCUAUUUUGUUGGUUUCUAGGAUCGAUGUAAUGAUUAAUAGGGAUAGUUGGGGGCAUUAGUAUUCAAUUGUCAGAGGUGAAAUUCUUGGAUUUAUUGAAGACUAACUACUGCGAAAGCAUUUGCCAAGGAUGUUUUCAUUAAUCAAGAACGAAAGUUAGGGGAUCGAAGACGAUCAGAUACCGUCGUAGUCUUAACCAUAAACUAUGCCGACUAGGGAUCGGGAUGAUGUUAAUUUUUUAAUGACUCAUUCGGC
rnacentral:rRNA from 1 species